rnacentral:lncRNA from 1 species
UGUGAUUUGGACUUGAGACUAUUUUGUCCAGUGUUCUUUCAUUUUGGACACCUCAUACAUUGAGUGACAGAACACUCCUAUUUGUCAUGCUAUAUUUACAUAUUUGGUAUUGUUGAAUUCAGCACAACCAUUUGUUUGCCAUUUGUUUUAUUUAAGACAGUAAUUUAAUUUGUAUUGUGUGAAGUUAAGUUAUAGUGAAGUUAUCAUUAAGUUCAAACUGCAAUCCCGGCUCCUGGUCUCUGGUUUCUGCUAUGGUAAGGUGUUAUCUUUCGAUUUCAAUCUUUGUUUCCAUAUAGUACAAGGUGCCAUUUGAAAUAUUUCAUUAUUACAUGUAUCUUAUAUGUGAAUUUCUCAACAUUCUUCUCACCACUGAUAAUGAAUGGGCUUUGGACUAAAUUAUGUCAGUGUUCCAUUUCAUUCAUUUUGGACACCUCAUACAUUGAGUGACAGAACACUCCUAUUUGUCAUGCUAUAUUUACAUAUUUGGUAUUGUUGAAUUCAGCACAACCCCACCUUUCCAACAAGCCAUCAUGUGUGUUUCAAUGAUAAUCCCAGGCAAAGCAAGCACAAAGUAAAUGAAAACAUUCUGCAUAGAUACUAAAUUUGUGCAUGUCCGCUUAUUAUAUGUAUGUGUUUACAUGUCUCUAUUUAUUACAUACAUCAAGAUAUUCACAUUCAGUCUUUUCUAGUAGUUGAAUCAUCUUCCUGACUACAAACAUGUCGAGUUUCAAAGCUCUCAGAGCUUGUGUGAUUGAUCUGCAUUAGUUUAUGUGCCCUAACUCCUAUACGGAUAGGCUAUAUUUUAGUCCUUUAUUGGUUUUGGGGUGUAUAACAAUAUCUGUUAAUUUAACAAUCUUAGCAGUAAAAUAUUUUUAGCCAAGAAUCCAUUUCAUAUAUGGGAGACCUUAGAGAUGAGGAAAAACAUUGUUGGGUUUAGUUCUACCUCCGGUAGGGGUAUCUCAAAAACUAAAGCACUUUUUGACCAUUUGUCACUAGCCUAUAAACAGAUGAAUUACCUUCGGUCCCUUGGCGGAGCAAACCCAGGUGCAACCUUGCGCAAAAUAUUGCGCAAGGUUGCAUCAAAUGAGGUCUUAGGUGUCUACAGCCUCAAAGGGAAAAAAGGCAAACUACCCUUCCAAAACCUGAAUCUAUGCAACAUGAUCAUAGGGGCAAUGCAGAAGGUGUACACGUCUCUAAAGGCCAGUAAUAUUGAAGACCUCAUUUCAAUGGUCCUAAAAUUUGCCCCACACAGGCGUUUAAAAUGCUGAGGAAGUGAAGACUUCGAGAAGUUUUACAAUUUUGUUCACCGUAUACGUUUUCAGUUUUGUUCCCUGCACACGUUCACUGUACACAAUGAACUUAUACAUUUUGUUUGUUGUUUAAAAUAAAAGGUUCAGAUCCAAUUUCAGACAUUGAAAUCUUUUCUUUAAAUGCAAGUCAUAUACAUAUAUAAUUCAUGGUUCAUAUGAUUAUAUACAAUAACAAUAUUAUUGUUGUACUACAAUAAAAUGUAUACAAUAAACUAUGUAGAAGUAUUGGCUUGUUUACUGAUUAAUGUACAGAAAUCAGAAUGUAGUGGUUAGGAGAACGUUCCGAGAACGUUCCCUAUUGGUUAUCCAGGAAAGUUUUCAUAACGUAAAUAGAACAUUCCCUUAAGGUUAGGGGAACGUUCCGGGAACUUUAUGGGAACCAAAAACUAAUGUUCCAGAACGUAAAAUUGUUAGCUGGGGUGUCUGUGACUUAUCACCCACAACUAAACCUAUCUCAUAUAUUUUUAUUUUCUCAUCAUUUCUAUGGACUCUUUAUAAAUGUAAAUGUAUGUAUUUGCCUACAAAACUACCACUGGCUCUGCACCCAUUUACCUAAAUUUGUUACUUCAGACUUAUGUGCCCUCUAGAAGCUUGCGUUCUGCAAGUGAACGUCGCUUGAUUGUGCCAUCCCAAAGAAGCACAAAGUCACUUUUACGGACUUUUAAAUUAAAUGUUCCCUUCUGGUGGAAUGAACUCCCCAACUCAAUCCGAGCAGCUGAGUCCUUAGCCAUCUUCAAGAAUCGGCUUAAAACACAUCUCUUCCAUCUUUAUUUGACCCUCUAACUUUAACACUCACUAUUCUAAAUCUAUUCUUUAAAAAAAUCGAACUACCUUUCUAAUCUUUUUGUAUUCUAUUUUCUUUUCAUUUAUUAUGCAAUUGUAUAUGUAUGUGUGUGUGUAUGUGUAAAGACCUCUAACUAGCUUGCUCUAUUCUUUUAUUUUUUUUAUUCUGUUUUCUUUUUAUUUAUUAUAUUAGUUAAAGUCCCAUGCUACGUGUACUGUGUUAACCUGAGACUUGUAUUCAUCUAAAUGUAUUUACAAUGUUAAAUAUGUAAAGAAACUGAAAUUAAGUUGGUUGUUACUACUAUUUAAGUUAUGUAAUUGUGUUUGCAACCAAAGAACACUGAUUUUGCUAAAUUCUUCCUUAAUACAGAUAAGGGAGGCAGAAUUUCAUUCAGUCUUUGUGUAUUUUAUUUACAGACACAGCUAAAAAAAACAUUACAUGUGAGAAGAGACAUUACAAAAUCUUUUGAAAAAAAAAAAAAAAAACAUUUACAUAUUAGUUGCCAGCAAGGUGUGUAAUUCUAACAUUACGCCUUCAAAACAACACUUGGACACAUAUUGGUCAAAGCACAGCACACAACCACAAUUUUAUCGAGCAAAGUCUUCAGCUCAGUCUCAUGAGUGGUGUGGACAGUGUCCGGGGAUGAGGUGGAUUCACAGGACCUUACAUUUCAGGUGCGGGUGUAGUGUCUGACAGUUACAAUACAAAGCAAUUGUGUCAUAUCACAACCUCUAUUCCUAAAGGAAUCCAGAUUAGAUAUGCACAGUGGGCGACAUACACUACCGUUCAAAGAUUUAGGUUUUUAAAAGAAG